rnacentral:tRNA from 1 species
GCGAGAGUAGUACAGUGGUAGUAUGCGACCUUCCCAAGGUUGAGAUGCGGGUUCGAUUCCCGUCUCUCGCU